CAUGAGUUCGACUCCCACAGUGCACGCCGCCACGUCAGGUAGAGGAGGUGGUGCUUGCGUGUGAAUGCAAGGUCGGUGGUGAUGGCACAUUGCUUGGACACCGCCAUGGCCCCGCCCUCUCUACUUGGUACUUGCAGUAUAUGGCGAUGUUGCCGGAUCUAGCGCAUCUACACGAUGGAUGACCUUGUCAUGUUCAGGAGUUCAGUGUGAUACUGGGUUCAACCUUCCUAAGAAGGAGAACGGCAGCUGCGGCGGCCAGUAUAACUUGGCCUCGAAAAAAGGUGAUUUGCCAACUCCAACUAUUCAGGUGGUACUGCCCUUCUCUGCAGUGACGGAGGAUGAAUUUCAGAAGCAGUUGACUCAGGACAGCGAAGUGAGUGCUUCAGCUUCAGAGCCAUGUUCAAAGAGCUUGUGUGUUGAAAGAUUGAGCAAACGUGAAGUGCAGAAAAAGCAUUAAGAAUUUUUGGAGUCUAAAAGAGGAAAUUGUAUUCAUUUUGUGUGAAUUGCUGUAAGUUUUUUUUCUCUGAUUUACUUUAUGAUGCAACAUAUCUCUGGUGACACUAUCUUCUUUAAACAUUUUAAAUUUCCCUUUGCCGCAAAACAUCACCUUUGUGACCAUGUUUUUCUGUACGGUCAAUCUUUUUGGCUACACGACUCAGCUUUGGCGAGAGGCCGCAUGGGAUAAACCAAUGUUUCUAUCUAAAGUGUUCUUUCAAAAUCGUUUUUGUACUGAAUAAAAAAUGAAGCUUAAUGGAUCUGAAGCUAUGUACAGGAAUCAGAAGGGCUAUUUAGCAGCAACUGCAGAGUAACAACAGAUGAUUGUGCCUCUUCUAUUUGUGCUAUUUAAAAAACACUUUUUUAACAAAUUUCAUAUUGUCCUUUUGUAUAGUCAGCCAGAUGCAGCGUGUUGCAUGGGACAUGGAGCAUGCAUGUUACCAUAUGCAGUUCAAGGCAUGGGAUUAGUGAGCUUUAAUUGGGUAUCCUGCUAAGAUUCAUUUCUGAAAAAACAUACAAGAAUGUCGUUUUCAAUCAUGCUAACUGUAAUUUUUUUAACAAUUGGGUUAAGACCAAAAUAAAAUGAUAUAAGCCUCUAUUUCUUCUAUCAGAGAUCUAUUACAAUUUUUUUGGGGGACAAUAACGAAUAAAACAAACUGGUGAACAAUUUUCUUUCCCUUAAAUUUGUACAAAAUUUGUUGUGUCUUUGCUGAUUAGCUGCAAUUGUGUGAACCUGGUGGCUAACGAGGAAUGAUAUGGUGUUUAGAGAUAACAUUGCUUACUCCCUUCUAAUUUAACUUUUUCAAAUUAUUUCUCAACUGAUGUAGUGGAAACCUCUCCUUCCCCAAGGAGAAGCAGAUGGAGGCUCUGGUGGCACGUCUGAAGGGGCAAUAGCAAGGCUGCGACCAAGAUCAAGAGUUGGAUGAUGUUUUUCCUACCAAAAAAAGUUUGAAGUCCGUGUUAAAGUAAGAGUUGUCAAUUUCUGCUAUGGGAGUUCUUACCCCUUUUUGUUUAGUUUGUCUAUCCUUUAAGUGACCCUAGCUGGUCGGGAUGUGUGACCAUGUGAGACUUCCCUUUUGCUCUGAGCUCAUGUAAACCUUGUAAUCCCAGCGAACCUGUCGUUGUGGCUUUCAAUAUAAGCUACGGGGUAGGUCUGAGGACCUUCUUGAAAAAACAUUUAUUCCUAUGUUGAAUGAAUUGUCUAGAAUUAGAUCCACAA